UGAACGCUGGCGGCAGGCUUAACACAUGCAAGUCGAGCGGUAGCACAGGGGAGCUUGCUCCCUGGGUGACGAGCGGCGGACGGGUGAGUAAUGUCUGGGAAACUGCCUGAUGGAGGGGGAUAACUACUGGAAACGGUAGCUAAUACCGCAUAACGUCGCAAGACCAAAGAGGGGGACCUUCGGGCCUCUUGCCAUCAGAUGUGCCCAGAUGGGAUUAGCUAGUAGGUGGGGUAAUGGCUCACCUAGGCGACGAUCCCUAGCUGGUCUGAGAGGAUGACCAGCCACACUGGAACUGAGACACGGUCCAGACUCCUACGGGAGGCAGCAGUGGGGAAUAUUGCACAAUGGGCGCAAGCCUGAUGCAGCCAUGCCGCGUGUGUGAAGAAGGCCUUCGGGUUGUAAAGCACUUUCAGCGAGGAGGAAGGUGGUGAGCUUAAUACGUUCAUCAAUUGACGUUACUCGCAGAAGAAGCACCGGCUAACUCCGUG
rnacentral:rRNA from 1 species